UAAUUUUUUGUAAACAUGGCAAUACCUUUUGACUACGAAUCAAAAGGUCGCAGGUUCGAAUCCUGCCGGGGUCGCCA
rnacentral:tRNA from 1 species